UGGGCUACCUUUGCAGGAGGUGUUGCUGUAGGAAGAAGCGGUGGCUGUCAGGGCAGCUGAGCCUCAGCCUCAAGGGAGCGGACCCAGGGAGGUGAGAGAGCAGAUGAUGCCAAAGCAUUUUAUAUUUGUAAAAUUCCAUCUGAUACCCUGAACGAGCUCCUUCAGUACAACCCUCUGAGGAGUUUGCAUGUAAUAAACAGAAGACAACCCGUAUGCCCCCUGCACUUUAUGGGCGGACAAGACAAAUGGUCCGGUCUCAGAUGACAACCUAGAUUUAUAA